GGCGGUUCUUGGGUGACACACCCCGGAAUCGGGCUCCCUCCUCUCUGGUUCCGGGUGCGUCACCUGAGAACUGCA
rfam:Myotis davidii contig80084, whole genome shotgun sequence.